GAUGCAACACCACCUUGUCCUUCUU
rnacentral:misc_RNA from 1 species